GAGCGCUGAAGGUUGGUACUUGUACCGACUGGAUGAGCAGCGAACGGGUGAGUAACGCGUGGGGAAUCUGCCUUUGAGCGGGGGACAACAUUUGGAAACGAAUGCUAAUACCGCAUAACAACUUUAAACACAAGUUUUAAGUUUGAAAGAUGCAAUUGCAUCACUCAAAGAUGAUCCCGCGUUGUAUUAGCUAGUUGGUGAGGUAAAGGCUCACCAAGGCGAUGAUACAUAGCCGACCUGAGAGGGUGAUCGGCCAC
rnacentral:rRNA from 1 species